UCCAUGUGAUGAUAUCAAGGCUGUGGUGAUUCAGUUGGUUUGGCUAAGCCCGGGGAACUUUGACCUAUUAAGGUCUGUAAUCUUGGUGGGCAAUACAGAGUUGUGUGUGUUCGCUGUAAGGGCAGACCAACAAGAACUAUUUCCUACUCUUGAACUACCCCUCUUUAAUAGAGGCUGUUCUUCCAGUCACCAGAGAGAAAAUCAGCUUAUUUAAUAGCUGUUCAGUCCAGUAUGGUAGUCGGCCAUGUAAAGUCAUAAAUUACAGAGUGAUCAGAAUGAUUGAAGUGGAACAAAACUCCCUUUUCUCCAAACACAUGAAC
ensembl:snoRNA